rnacentral:lncRNA from 1 species
UAACAUGACUUCAGUCUUCACUGCAUGCAUUUAAGUGUUCUAAAACAAUAAAUAUAGCCAUUAGACCGUUGAAUUUGGAUGGCCAUCAAAGUGGGAAUUCUUUUUACAGGCCAUUAUACUGUUAUUUACUCAGAUAUUAUUGUUGUUUCCCAGUUUCCAGUAGUGGUAUUCUUAUGUUUGCUCCUCCUGCUCUCUCUUGUUGGAGAGUGCAGUUAAUGAAUAUAAGUUUGCUUUUAAAAAAAAAGAAGAUAUUAUUGUUGCAUGAUUACCUGACCACUCGUGUCAUAUUGUUUUGUUAGAUGCUCUUUAUCUGAUGUAUUUUCCAACUGUAGAGUACAAACUUCUGGGUUUUUUUUUUUGACAAUUGGUGCUGGUACUGUCACUGGGGCGGCUACUGCUUUCUACCUUGGAUAUCGGAAGAACUUAGAGGAAGUGGAGAUGAAGAAGCAACUGCUCUUGAAUCUUGAGCAGAAGUUGGAUCGUCAACUCGUUGAAAUUGGUAAAUUAGCUGUAAAGGUUGAUGAGUUAAAGGAGAAGGUGGUUUAUGUUGGCGAGUUGGUCAAAUUGCUGGUGAAGGAUGGUGAUUAGAAACUUGUUUAUGUAGCCUUGUAAUUUUCACAAUUGUAGCUUACAUUUCUUCACUGUCGAUCGCAAAAUUUUAAAUACAAUUUCUGUCAAGUAUAGCCAAAAUUAGAUUAGAUUCUGCAGGUAAAGAAUAAUCACAAUUCAGAAUCAAUGUGAAGAGGUACAUAAAAUUGCUCCAGAAUUCCUUCUUAAAAACUCAUACCCAUUAAUUUAUUGCAAGCUUUUCAUUAGACUAUACCCUCAUAAGGAUGCCCCAGUGUAUGCGCCACCUUGAUUCUCUAGGUUCCAUCUGGUCCUGCAACUCUUCCCCUGCUCCUCUGUCAUUUUUGGAGCUUUCUGGGACAAACUACCUAACCUUAUUUUGUAUCUUGUUCACUUUGGGAGGAUGCACAUCUUUCUCCUUUAAUUUGCUCAUUAAUAUCAGAAUCAUCUAAGUUGUAAUAUGCAUUGGAUUUGUUAAGUUAUGAUUGUAAGUUCUGUAAUUUGUAAUUUUUGGUCUCUCGUUGGCCUAGCUCCUCAAUGACCAACUUUAUCUAGCUCAGUGCAUUUGUAAAUUCUGUUUAAAGUUUGGUACCAUUAUGAGUUUACACUUUUAUGUCCGAAACAUUUAGAGUAUAUAUUAUGAGUUCAUGUGUACUUAAGGAUGGACUAUGGAGUAAUCUUGUUAUACUAAUGAUAAUCUGCCUUGCAUAUUUUUAGGAUAAAUUCUGGUCACCUGUAAUGUAUUCUGCAACCGCUUAUAUCAAUCAUUAAUCAUCAUUUUAAGUUAAUUUCAACUGUCAAGAUAUUUAUUCUACAAAAAUCUGUAGAAGUAGUCCUGUG